GGCCCCAUCGUCUAGAGGCCUAGGACACCACCCUUUCACGGUGGCGGCACGGGUUCGAAUCCCGUUGGGGUCACCAUUU
rnacentral:tRNA from 1 species